UCCGCUGUGUUGUGCCUCUGUGCACUCUGCUAUAAUGAAAAAGGGUUUCUCUUACCAGAGAGAAUUCCCAACAGGUUAUGGGAGCCCAGUAUUUUGAGCUGCGUGUACUGCAACUAAAGAGUUAAGUCUGUUCCAGGAGAUCCAGUGAGAUCUAGCCCUGGACAAUUUGAAUUGCUAAUCUACAGCAGCUGCCCUUUUACGGAGCUCAGUGAGGAUGGCUACUUAUCUAGAGGGAAAGCUCAGGCUGACUAUCCUGAACCUAGACAAUUACUUGGAAUGGAAAACUUGACUGAGGCUUGCAUUAUAAGCUGAAGGACUACAGAAAGUCACUGAAGAAGUUGCCUGCUCAGAUGGAAGUUCAGCUGCUGAGAAAACUGCUAAAGAGGAGUGGCAACUCAAAGAUACAUAAGCUCAAGCUUGGAUCGCUGCUUCUGUGAGUAAAAAUUAUCUUUCUACCAUAUGUGAUCUUGACUUGAGACUUCAAAGGAAAUGCUAAGCAAGCUAGAUUCCUUGCAUAUGAAAAUGGGGUGGGCAUACACCUUUAACGUGAGAAAGAAAAUGCAGAAUCUCCAAUAUAAAGACGGAGGCUGUUUUGCAACGCAUGUGGGAUUGCUGCAAGGUUUUUUAAAAAAGUUAUAGCUGCAAAGGAGGAAUUUACAGAGAAUCAGAAGCUGGAAGUCCUGUUCCUAAGCAUGCCCCCCCAGCUAUAGCAAUAUAAUCGGCCAAUUGGAAACCCACACCACUCUAAACUUUGAGAGAGCAGUGGAAACUAUCUCUGCUGAAGCAAGCAGAGGACAAGUUUUGAAUUCUUGAUAUGAAGGUGAAUUGGCAAAUAACUUUGCUCUUAAGGCAACAAUUGGCCAUUCCAGAGGAAACCCAAGGUGGGGAGGGAAUGCUGCAAGAGGAAACCGCAUGCCCCCCCCCAUAUUUGCAUACAAAGAGGUCUGGCUUCGUUGCCAAGGGAACUCAAUCCAGAGAGAGAGGUCACAUGACCGCCAGCAGGGAGACUGCUCCUGAAAUGAGGCCAACUGGGACUAAUGACUUUAGAUGUUUUCUGUGUAACCAAUUUGGCCACAAGGUGGCGAACUGUCCCAAGAAUCAGACAAGGAAAGCUGACUUUACAGAAAGAGAUUUAAAGGACUUUAAGAGUGGUGAUUCAAAUAAGAAUUUCAGUGUUUGCCUGAUGCAAGGCGAUGAAAAAUUUAUUCUGGACACUAGUUCCAUGGUUCAUAUCUCAAAUCAUUUAGAUUUCCAUACUGAACUGUUUGAUAUUCCUGAAGAGAUUGUUCAUUUGGCCAAUAAUACUACAAUUAAAGCAAAGAAGAAAGGUGAAGGAAUUUUGUAUUGCAAGUUACUAGAUGGAUCGAUUAAACAAUUUUUUGUGAAGGAUGUUUUGUAUAUCCCUGACUUCUCAAGCUCCUUGCUUUCAAUAUCCAAGCUAGAGAAACAAGGCUGUGAACUGUAUAUUAGAAAUGGACAAUGUGUUGUUACCCAAAAUGGAGAAGUUUGCCUUGUAGGCUCUGAAUGCAAAGGCCUAUACAGUGUGCAGGAGCAACCUGUGUCAAAGAUAAGACAGAGAAGGACCAGCCUGGUCCAAACCUGAAGCAUACCACCCCAAUGAAGUGAACCUUGCUCAGUCAUGCCUGCAUGAAAACUGCUUGCAACUGUGGCAUAGAUGCCUGGGACACAGUUGCUAUGAGACAAUCCAGAACAUGAAGGAAAGGGGAUUAGCUGAUGGCAUUGAUUUUGUACCAUGUGACAUUGUGACUAACUGUGUUUGUUGUCUUGAGUCCAAAGCAGUUAUCAAGCCAUUUCCUAAGCAGAGUGAAAGGAAGACCAGAAGACCCCUGGAGCUGAUCCACAGCAAUAUAUUUGGACCACUGCCAGUGACCAUAGGAGAAAUCGCAGAUGCCCGAGAAACUCCAGGACUAUGUGGGAAUGGCAAGCAACAAAUUUGAGCAGAAGCCAAAGGUACUACGCACAGACAAUGGAGGAGAAUAGAUGUCCAGUGCCACACAUCAGUUCCUGAGAGAACAUGGAAUAGUGCAUCAAACCACGGUAGCUUACAACCCAUCGCAGAAUGAAGUGUCAGAGAACAGAACUCUACUGGACAUGGUAAGAUGCAUGCUUGCUGAUGCAUAUCUCCCACAGAAACUCUGGGGAGAAGGCAUCAUGACUGCCACAUACAUACAAAACAGAAUACACACAAAGGCUGUAGGAACAAUACCAUAUGAACUUUGGCAUGGUCAUAAGCCACCCAUGACGCAUUUGUGUGUCUUUGGAAGCACGGCUUAUUUAUACAUCCCAGAGGAAAAAAGGACUAAGUUAGGGGCUAGGGCCACAAAAGGGAUUUUUGUAGGCUACUCAGCACAAUCCAAAGGCUACAGAAUUCUGGAUCCUGACACCAACAAGAUAACCAUAAGCAGAUUGGUGUAUUUUGAUGAGAAUGAAAGAGCUACAUCUUCAGAGGGGGCCUACACCGAAGCAAGCAACCAGACCAAACACCCUGACGACCGGAUUAUGCUUCCUGAUCUCAGCGGAAUUGAGGAGGAGGAGACAGCAGAUCCAGAUCCAACCACGCUAGACACAGAGACCCCCAGCGAUCCACCAGACACACUGAGAUAAUGGAAGGGACCAAAGAGGGUGAGGUUAGGUGCUCAACACGCUCAACCAGAGGUGUUCCAGCCCCGAGACUGUCCUACCUCGCAAGAACGGCGGAACAACCAGAACCCUCAUCAUGGGAGGAAAUAUCCCAGCUGCCACAACCAGAAGCCCAGCAGUGGGAACAAGCUGCAAUUGAAGCGCUUGAGGCUCUACAGAAAAACAAAACCUGGACUCUUACUAAGUUACCUCAAGGGAGGAAAGUUAUAGGCUGCAAAUGGGUUUUCAAACUCAAACAUGAUGCUGAUGGUGAGAUUCAGUGCUACAAAGCCAGAUUAGUAGCGAAAGGAUAUUCAUAGAAAUAUGGAGAAGACUGAUGAAACAUUUGCACCAGUAGUCAAACACACCACAGUAAGGACUCUGUUAAGUAUUGCUGCUAGCAAAGGAAUGCAUGUUGAACACCUAGAUGUGAAAACUGCAUUCUUGUAUGGUGAACUAGAAGAGGACAUUUACAUGCAACAACCACCAGGUUUCUUAGAGAAAGGCAAAGAAGAUCUUGUAUUCAAAAUGCAAAAGAGCAUUUAUGGUUUAAAACAGGCUGCCAGAGCAUGGAACACAAAACUAAAUGAUAUGCUGCUUCAAGCAAACUUCAAAAGAAGUGAAGCUGAUCCCUGCCUGUACACGAAAUUCAGAGAUGGCAAAUGGACUUACUGUACAUUUUGGCGUAUGUUGAUGAUUUGAUUCUUGCCAAUGAGAAUCCAGAUGACAGCAAGGAAAUAAUGCAUCAUCUGAACAGAGAUGUGGAAGUCAUACAACUUGGCAACUUAGCACACUACUUGGGCAUUCAAGUACAAAGAGAGAAAGAUGGAAGUUUCCUCAUCAACCAAGAACAGAAAAUUAAAAACCUGAUAAACCUGGUCAGACUGGAAGAUGCGAAUCCUACACCAAUGCCAAUGGAAGUGAACUACAUAAAGCAAGAAGAUCAAACUGAGCCACUAUCUGACAACCACAGAUAUCGUGAAGCAUUGGGAAAGCUUCUAUACAUUAGUACACUCACUAGGCCAGAUAUUAGUACAGCAGUUAGCUUACUUUGCAGAAAGACUGCAUCACCAACGGUCAAGGACUGGAAUGCAAUUAAGAGACUUGUUAAGUAUCUAAAGGGUACUGCACACUUUAAGCUCAAGGUACCAGCUAACAGUCAACCAAAACUAGAGGCAUACGUAGAUGCAGACUGGGGUGGAGACCUAACAUAAAGGAAAUCCACCAGCGGUCAUAUAAUUUUCUAUGGAGAUGGAGCCAUAAGCUGGUCAAGCACCAAGCAAGACAUAGUAGCAUCAUCAACCACUGAAGCGGAAUAUGUAUCAGCUGUACAGGGCUGUCAUGAGAUACAAUGGCUGUGUCAACUACUGAAAGAUCUAGGUACAGAUGUACCACAGCCCAUACCAUUGUAUGAAGACAACCAAAGCUGCAUUCAACUCUCCAAACAGGAAGAUGUAAAGAGGCGUACCAAGCAUAUUGAUGUGAAGUACCAUGUAGUGAGAAAUCUGCAAAAGAAUGGACUAAUCAAGCUGAUCUACUGCCCAACAAAUGAAAGGCUUGCAGAUCUACUCACUAAGCCACUACCAAGAUCCUGCUUUAAAAAGCUGAGAUUCUAUCUCUUCACUUUCCUAUCAAGAAUGAAGUUCUCUAAUAAAUACUACUUAUAUUGAUUUGAAACUA